CCGAGUUGAUUCGAGCUCCGGCUCGACUCUCCCACCCUUUGUGUACCUACCUCUGUUGCUUUGGCGGGCUGCCCAGGCACCCGCCAGAGGACUUCAAAACUCCAGUCAGUGAACGUCUCAGUCUGAAAAAACGUUAAUAAACUA
rnacentral:misc_RNA from 1 species